AGGGAAUGUUUCUUUAGGCUAUUACGAUACUGAUAUUUGUAAAUCCCCAUUUUCGAUAAAUUUGGAUUUAACAAUAUAUGAAAGACAAAGAAAUCCAAAGUGAUAGACACAUGUAAUUAGAAAUCCACAAUCUACUUAAUAUACAAACUUUAUACCUAUAUAGUCUGAAAGUUGUUUAAAUAAUGUUUUGCUGUAAUACUAUUUUUUAUGGUAAUUUAGUGAAAUUAUUUGAUUGUAUUUAAUGCUUAUUUUAUAUAUUUUUUGUCAGGAGUUUCUGUAAUACAUUUUUGUGUUAGUGGUGCUUUAUGUUCAAAUGUUCAUUUUUGAAGCUAUUAUUUUGUAUUUUUAAAAUUUAUUUUAUGUAUUUAUUUUUUUUUUACACUUACUAAUUCCUUGCCAUUUACGAGAGACACAAUAGCUGAAAACUUCUGCUUCUGAAUCUGAAGAGUCAGUAUUAUAGACUACUGUAUCCAGUCUGUUGAGGUCAAGUCCUGGCCCUAAGACCAUAACGGAGAAUAAAAAAUGCGUCAAAAUUUGGAAUGAAUAUAAUUUUUGAAGCAAUUUUGAUAAUCAAACACAUUUUCAUCCAUUUGUUUGUUUCAAAUAUUACACAGAUGAAGAUUUUUUUGAAACACAUAGUAGAAAUGAAAUGCUUGAUAUUAAGGAUCAAAAUUUUGACUUGUCUAUUUUCAGUUGAUAGUCUUGGGGCCUGGUGAAAAAUAUGCCAAGUAUUUGAAUAGAAAUGUUUAGAAAUGAAUGAAUUUUUUUUCUCUUCAAGAAUGAAAUGCAUUUCCUCGAUUGAAUUUUUAAAAAGUUUCUGCUGUAUAUAAUGUUAUCAUCAUAUAAAUUUGUGUGUGUAGCUUGUUCAGAAUUUUAGCUGCAGAAAUGAAGCUUCCUGAUUGAGAAAAUUAGACAGACAAAAUAGAGAGCUACAGAUCCAAGCAUGUAAAAACUUUAGCUUUGUGUAUUUUUUCUUCUUUUUACAUGUAUGUGUUUCCUGGCUUAAAAGAUGAUAUCCUUUGAUUUUAAAGCUAUAAUUUGAAACUUUACCUUCCAGUGGUUCCAAACAGGCACAUGUGGUCAUUGAAUGUCAUCUUAACAAUGUGCAUUCCAACAUCAAUGUUGAAGUCUUGCUAGAAUAACAUGGCCUAAAUGGUAAACAUGUAUCAGAAAUAGGAAUAAAAUAUAUAAUAUAUUAACAAAUACACUGUACCAUGCUUUAUGGGGGGGGGGGGGGGGGGCACAAGUAAUACCCAGUUUGAAAAAUAAUAACAAAACAAGUGACAAAAAUAUGUCGCCAUAAAUUGAAGGUUUUUACAAUGCUUGGAUCUGAAGGUCUCUGGUAUGUCAGUCUGAUUCUUUUUAAAAGAGAGCUACUGUUAAGCUUCUAGAUUUUAUUAACUUGUACUUUUGCUUUUCACAGGAAAAAAAAAUAUCUUAAUAUUAGGGAAGUAUUAAUUUGUACAGAAAACCUUUAAAUAAACACCAUAUAUCAAAAAACAUAGCAUUUUUACCUUAGAAUCUAGGAAGAAAAAGAACCUUCUAGGUUCAAAUUUUUAUUUAAUGCCAUAUUAUCCCACCUACAAUGCUCACUUGAUCAAUAUACAGACUUUUUCAGACUCAACACAACAGCUGAUUUCUUGCCAUCAGUAGACACUACACAGCCAGCCUUCACUGAAGUUUUCAUCCUAUUUCAAUUUCUGUCCAUUUAAACAGUAUAUUAUACACCACAGGAGGUGAAUUAAUGUAUGUUUCACAUUCCAACACAGCAUGUUGUAUAUUUCUGCACAGUACAGCAUUUUUGGUACUCUUGUAUGGACUUUGAGCAAAUAUUUUAAUUAGGAAAAGAUAAACGACACAGGAAAAAAAUUAACACGAGUUUGAGGUAAUUUUAUGACUUUAUAAUAAUUUUUUUUCCAGUGCUUGGACUUGAAUAACAAACCUGAACAUAUGUAGAUCGAACUGAAAACAAUCAUGACUUUUCCUUUGUCUCUGCAGAUUUUCUGUUGUUUGUUAUGGAAUAUUUAUUAUUAUUUUGUUGUUUUGAUAUUUUCUUGAUAAUAAAUGAAAUACACACUACAA